rnacentral:tRNA from 1 species
GCCAGGGUGGCAGAGCGGCUAAAUGUGCCGGUCUUAUGAACCGGUGACUCGAUCCGAAGUCACAUGGGUUCAAAUCCCAUCCCUGGCG